GGAUAUUGGCUUCUAAAAACUAACCUAAGUUAGAUUAGGGUUUCUAGAAACACCUAAUCUAACUAAGGCCGAUCAUUUAUACCUAAUGGCAUCACAAGAGACACACCUUGUCACACUUGCCAUGUGAGCUACCAUUAGGCGCCAACUUUCAUCUCAUUAGGAUUUGAAUUUCCCACCAAUUUGACAUGUCAUUUCCGGUUCUCCUUGGCUAUAAAAGAAGAAGCCUACCUCAUGUUUUC
rnacentral:lncRNA from 1 species